UCUCCGUUGGUGAACCAGCGGAGGGAUCAUUAUAGAGUUUUCUAAACUCCCAACCCUUUGUGAACUUACCUUUGUUGCCUCGGCGGGGCCUACCCGGUACCGACCCCUUUUGGGCGAAGUUACCCUGUAGCCCGCCGGUGGAUAUUCAAAACUCGUUAUUUUUAAUGUUAUCUGAGCGUCUUAUUUUAAUAAGUCAAAACUUUCAACAACGGAUCUCUUGGUUCUGGCAUCGAUGAAGAACGCAGC
rnacentral:misc_RNA from 1 species